UUUAUUUCAAGCAGCCCAAGAAUCUCAUUCUAAAUAUCAGGCUGCUCGAGCUUUACGCUUAUAAUUUGGAAUAAUGAGAGGAAGGUAGGAGCAUAGUAAAAACCUGUACAGCUUACCUUCCUUUCCACGCUCCUACACUGCCUCCAGAGAAGAACCCUUGUGGUUUGAAACCAACGAAAUUUUGGCAAAUGGAUGUGACCCAUUAUAAAUCUUUUGGUCCUCUGUCUUUUAUCCAUGUUGUGGUAGACAAUUUUUCAGGAUUCACUUGUGCAAUACCAGCAGCAAAAGAGACAGCCUGAGUGAUCACUGAAUUCCUUGUACAAUCAUUUGCAAUUAUGGGUGUGCCACAAGCAAGGAAAACAGACAAUGGACCUGCAUAUGCUUCUAAACAUUUUGCACACUUUUGUGCACAGUGUAAGAUUUUACACACCACUAGCAUAUCUUUUAAUCCUCAAGUACAGGCAAUAAUAGAGAAGAGAAACAGAGACAUUAAGAUGCUCCUCUGAAAACAAAAGAAGGGGAGCCACAGGCAAUCCUAGAGUACUUGUAAAUCUAACUCUUUAUACUAUUUCUUGAUUUUUGACAAGGUGCAUUGGCUCUGGCAGGCAGGUUUUAUAACCCACCGGAAGGGCAGUGUCCAGUGCGAGCCUCUCCAUUAUCUUUAAUCGCCAGGUGAUGUGGAGAGGCCCAGAAAGUGGUGAAUGGAAGGGA